rnacentral:rRNA from 1 species
CCUACGGGAUGCAGCAGUAGGGAAUAUUGCUCAAUGGGGGAAACCCUGAAGCAGCAACGCCGCGUGGAGGAUGAAGGUUUUCGGAUUGUAAACUCCUUUUGUUAGAGAAGAUAAUGACGGUAUCUAACGAAUAAGCACCGGCUAACUCCGUGCCAGCAGCCGCGGUAAUACGGAGGGUGCAAGCGUUACUCGGAAUUACUGGGCGUAAAGCGCGCGUAGGCGGGAUAGCAAGUCAGAUGUGAAAUCCUAUGGCUUAACCAUAGAACUGCAUUUGAAACUGUUAUUCUAGAGUAUGGGAGAGGUAGGUGGAAUUCUUGGUGUAGGGGUAAAAUCCGUAGAGAUCAAGAGGAAUACUCAUUGCGAAGGCGACCUGCUAGAACAUAACUGACGCUGAUGCGCGAAAGCGUGGGGAGCAAACAGGAUUAGAUACCCCAGUAGUC